GCUGCAGUCGUGGCACUGCUCUCACAGGAGCAGAGUGGGAGCUGAGUGAUCUUCACGUGGUGUUAAAGUACAUUCUGCAACUAAAGCAGCAUCCUGGGCUGGGAGCACAGCUUUGCAUGAGUGCAUUGCCAGGGGUGUUCCAGCUGAGCUCCCUCUGGGCAGGAGCAGCUAAUUAAUGGCAUGUUGGCUUUGAAGCUGCUGUGAGGAGAACCAGGAGUGGCCACUGAGCCAGGCAAGCCCCUCCAUUUCCCCACAGCUGAAUUCUUCAGAGGUCAUUUCACGUUGUGCCGCUGUUUCCAUUCCAGGUACUAUGAAACAUUUUUCUGAUUUGGAGUUUAAACAGGGAAAUAAUCCAUGAAGAAGCUGACGUGUACAUAAAGAAACACUUCGCAGUGGGGACUG